GACAGAGGUGCCAAGCGUUAGGCGGAAUCACUGGGCUUAAAGCGUGUGUAGGCGGACUCGUAAGUACCUUGUGAAAUCCCACGGCUCAACCGUGGAACUGCUUGGUAUACUGCUUGUCUUGAGCCACUUAGGGGCUGUCGGAACAAACGGUGGAGCGGUGAAAUGCAUAGAUAUGAUAUAGAACACCAAUUGCGAAGGCAGCUUGCUAAACGAUCAUUGACGCUGAGGCACGAAAGCGUGGGGAUCAAACAGG
rnacentral:rRNA from 1 species